CCAAUAGCGUAUAUUAAAGUUGCUGCAGUUAUAAAGCUCGUAGUUGAAUUUCGGGACCAAUAUGUCGGUCGUGCUUUUGUACGUACUGAUAUAAUUGGUUUCUCCCUUCUGAAGAACCUUGAUGUCAUUAAUUUGGUGUCUUGGGGAAUCAGGACUGUUACUUUGAAAAACUUAGAGUGUUUAAAGCAGGCUCGCGCUUGAAUACAUUAGCAUGGAAUAAUGAAAUAGGACGUUUGAUUCUAUUUUGUUGGUUUCUAGGAUCGACGUAAUGAUUAAUAGGGAUAGUUGGGGGCAUUAGUAUUCAAUUGUCAGAGGUGAAAUUCUUGGAUUUAUUGAAGACUAACUACUGCGAAAGCAUUUGCCAAGGAUGUUUUCAUUAAUCAAGAACGAAAGUUAGGGGAUCGAAGACGAUCAGAUACCGUCGUAGUCUUAACCAUAAACUAUGCCGACUAGGGAUCGGAUGAUGUUAAUUUUUUAAUGACUCAUUCGGCGCCUUACG
rnacentral:rRNA from 1 species